AUUGAACGCUGGCGGCAGGCCUAACACAUGCAAGUCGAGCGGAUGAGGGCAGCUUGCUCCUGGUUCCAGCGUCGCACGGGUGUGUAAUGCCUAGGAGUCUCCCUGGCUGUGCGGUGUAACGUCCUCAGGCGGGCGCUAAUACUGCAUACUACCUGAGCGUGCAAGUGGGGGGUCUUCGGACCGCAUGCUAUCAUAUGAGCCUAGGUCGGAUUAGCUAGUUGGUUGGGUAAAGACCUACCUAGCGGGCGAUCCGUAACUAGUCUGCGAGGAUGAUCAGUCACACUGGAACUGAGACACGGUCCAGGCUACUACGAGAGGCAGCAGUGGGGAAUGUUAGGCAAUAGGCGAAAACCUGAUCCAGCCAUGCGGCGUGUGUGAAGGAGGUCUUCGGAGUGGAAAGCACUUUAAGUUGGGAGGAAGGGCAGUAAGUUAAGACCUAGCUGUUUUGACGGUAACAACAGAAGAAGCACCGGCUAACUUCGUG
rnacentral:rRNA from 1 species